rnacentral:rRNA from 1 species
UACAGAGGUGGCAAGCGUUGUUCGGAAUUACUGGGCGUAAAGGGCGCGUAGGCGGCCUUCUAAGUCAGACGUGAAAUCCCCGGGCUUAACCUGGGAACUGCAUUUGUGACUGCACAGCUGGAGUGCGGCAGAGGGGGAUGGAAUUCCGCGUGUAGCAGUGAAAUGCGUAGAUAUGCGGAGGAACACCGAUGGCGAAGGCAAUCCCCUGGGCCUGCACUGACGCUCAUGCACGAAAGCGUGGGGAGCAAACAGG